UACUCAUGUAAAAACACGCUGAUUCCCGGACUGUCUGUGGGCCAGAUUUAGAAAGCAAUUGGGCCAGAUCUGGGCCCCGGGCCUUAGUUUGCCUGCCCAUGCACUAGACCUCUAGACCAGGGGUAGGCAACCUAAGGCCCGUGGGCCAGAUGCGGCCCAAUCGCCUUCUCAAUCCGGCCCACAGAUGGUCCGGGAAUCAGCGUGUUUUUACAUGAGUA